UAUUAAAAGUUUCAUCCAUUUCGACUAUUAAAAAUUAACAUUACUGAUAGAAUAACCAAACAAUUACAAGUGACAUGCCAUGUGUAUCUCAUGUUGACGUACAAGGACUAGUUAUUAAUAAUAAAAAAUGGAUGAAAUUUUUCACA
rfam:Gossypium raimondii Chr03_contig_248, whole genome shotgun sequence.